rnacentral:lncRNA from 1 species
UGGGGAAGGAAGCAGACAAUGUGGAUGUGACUGGGAGAAUCUACUGGAGGAAGGAAACAAUGUGGAUGUGACUGGGAGCAUCUACUGUGGAAGGAAAUAGACAGUGUGGAUGUGACUGGGAGAAUCUACUGUGGGAGGAAGUAGACAAUGUGGAUGUGACUGGAAGAAUCUACUGGGGAAGGAAGCAGACAAUGUAGAUGUGACUUGGAGAAUCUACUGGGGAAGGAAGCAGACAAUGUGGAUGUGACUGGGAGAAUCUACUGGGGAAGGAAGCAGACAAUGUGGAUGUGACUGGGAGAAUCUACUGGGGAAGGAAGCAGACAAUGUGGAUGUGACUUGGAGAAUCUACUGGAGGAGGAAGUAGACAAUGUGGAUGUGACUGGGAGAAUCUACUGUGGAAGGAAAUAGACAGUGUGGAUGUGACUGGGAGAAUCUACUGUGGGAGGAAGUAGACAAUGUGGAUGUGACUGGAAGAAUCUACUGGGGAAGGAAGCAGACAAUGUAGAUGUGACUUGGAGAAUCUACUGGGGAAGGAAGCAGACAAUGUGGAUGUGACUGGGAGAAUCUACUGGGGAAGGAAGCAGACAAUGUGGAUGUGACUGGGAGAAUCUACUGGAGGAGGAAGUAGACAAUGUGGAUGUGACUGGGAGCAUCUACUGGAGGAGGAAGUAGACAAUGUGGAUGUGACUGGGAGAAUCUACUGGGGAAGGAAGUAGACAAUGUGGAUGUGACUGGAAGAAUCUACUGGGGGAGGAACUAGACAAUGUGGAUGUGACUGGGAGAAUCUACUGGAGGAGGAAGUAGACAAUGUGGAUGUGACUGGGAGAAUCUACUGGAGGAGGAAGUAGACAAUGUGGAUGUGACUGGGAGAAUCUACUGUGGAAGGAAGCAGACAAUGUGGAUGUGACUGGGAGAAUCUACUGGAGGAGGAAGUAGACAAUGUGGAUGUGACUGGGAGAAUCUACUGGAGGAGGAAGCAGACAAUGUGGAUGUGACUGGGAGAAUCUACUGGGGAAGGAAGCAGACAAUGUGGAUGUGACUGGAAGAAUCUACUGGAGGAGGAAGUAGACAAUGUGGAUGUGACUGGGAGAAUCUACUGGGGAAGGAAGCAGACAAUGUGGAUGUGACUGGGAGAAUCUACUGGGGGAGGAAGUAGACAAUGUGGAUGUGACUGGGAGAAUCUACUGGAGGAGGAAGUAGACAAUGUGGAUGUGACUGGGAGAAUCUACUGGAGGAUGAAGUAGACAAUGUGGAUGUGACUGGGAGAAUCUACUGGGGAAGGAAGCAGACAAUGUGGAUGUGACUGGGAGAAUCUACUGGAGGAGGAAGUAGACAAUGUGGAUGUGACUUGGAGAAUCUACUGGAGGAGGAAGUAGACAAUGUGGAUGUGACUGGGAGAAUCUACUGGG